rnacentral:lncRNA from 1 species
CAUGUUGCUAGCUUCAACUCGAUUGAAUAAGAAUAAUUGAUUCUCUCUAUUGUCCAUUUCUUAUUCAUUUAGGGCGCUCGGCCGGUGCUCCUUUCUCAAACCAGAACAACUUUAAACGUUAGGGAAGAUAAGGGAAGACCACCUGAGCGAAGCGACCGAAGGGACUUGACUUAUCUGAACUGAACGAUAGCGGCUUAAAGCUAAGCCUAUCACGAGCAGUGUCGCUGCUUGAUCGGCGGGGAGGAGCAUCUAGUUAUGGAUGGAAUGAUCUCCUCUCUUGUACCCUGCGAAAGCUGAAGAAUGGCUUUAGACUUCCAUUCCGCUGCUCCAAAAAUCCUUAUUUGCUGCGUUACAUGUUCUCCAUUAUUCUUCUAUCAUAGGCUUGUCAGGCUGAUUCUUUCGUUUCGAAAUAUAAUAAUAAUAUUAUUCUCAGAGCAGAGAAUAUCCCCCUUUCUUUCAGGCUCAUUUGUGUCACCGUAAAGGCUUGUUUGAAAGGAGAGGGAUGCUAUUUCUUUAAUUGAUAGGAAUUAUAAAUAGAGAAGAAUCUCAGUAAAUUAUAGACCACUUCAAAUCUUCGUUUUCGAGAGGGAUGAUCAACUCCGCAAAUAUCAAUCGAAACUUGAACCAUUGUAUAGGUAUGCAAUUUUAGAAAGCACAACAAUUGAAAUAGGUAGUCUGUAUUGGUAUCAGAUCUAUUCCCAUGUUCCGAUCUUUUCAUUUUUUUUACCCAUUUCUUGGGGAAAGUCUCCCAAAAGCAGUCAAUUUGACUCAGCUCCUCUUUUCUAGAAUCCUACCUGGUGUAUAGUUCUAUUCACUUUACACAAUGAGGAAAUUGUUCAUCAUAAGAAAGGGGACCGAAAAAUUGAAUUUGAAUUAUUUCCAUUCAGAAUAAAAUUUUCUUUUAAUUAUGAUUAGGAUAUAUUCUGUUCAAUAAUUGGAAAUUUUGUUAAGUAUGUUAAACUUCAGUAUAAAUAAAGUUCUAUUGUUUCAAUAAAUUAUUAUUUUAGCUUAAUAAUGAUAUGAAAGUAUUUUUAAUAAAGCAUGUAAAUCGUACCAUAAAUUUUUAGUUCCUUACAAAAGUUAGGCAUGCAUGAAAGUUUAAGUCUUUAGAAUUGACUUAGUAGUUUCUUGAGGCGAAAUCCUAGGAAGCAUGGAACAUUGAAAAUGAUUUAGGCAACUUUUGUUUGGACUGUUUGAGCCUUUCAAGCCAACCAUGACGAAAUUUUUAUCCUUUGAAACCCAACUUUGAGACUAUAUGGCCUAAUUUUAUUUGAACCCUUGUAAAUUUAGCCAUCACUUCUCUCUUAACUAUCUUAAAAUUGUCCCAAACACUAGACUCAGUACUAUUUGAAGUAUUCUUUAAAAAAAAGUUUGGGGGAGUUGAAAAGAUAUAUCGAAUGCUCUAAAAUUGUAGUACAUUCAAAAAAAUGCUCGAAUUAUAAAAAAAAGAGCAUGAGUUCUUAAAAUAAGAUGUACAAAAGAGCAUGUGAAAGCAAAGAAAGUUGGUGUAUUGAAGGUAAUUAUUUCGAAAGUCCGAUGCAAUCUGAGUCUAGGGUUUAAAAGCCUAAAUUUAUCUAUAUUUUACCUACCCUUAAGCCCAACCACAUUACAACCUUGUUAAUGACCUAUUGAUUCAAAAGUUACAAUGCUACCUACAUUAGUGCAGAGAAAUUGCUACGUACAACAUAUGAAGACAUAAGUUAAACUUGAUGAUUGCAGCUUAAUCUUGAAUAAUGGGAAUAAAAUUACAUUGGUAAGGUUUAACAUGACUUUAUUAGGAAGCAUUUAGUCUAAUUUUUUCUAUCAUAAUAGUUGUUGAGAUUUAUUUGAACGAUAUGUAUAAUUAAGUAGCAUAACUAUCAAAUUUCUUGUCUUUAAGCAUAAGUAUAUUAAAUUCAUAAUUUUGAGAAAAAUGUUGUUCUGAAAGAAUUUUUCAAAGGUGUUUCUGAGAAAUUCUUUCAAAAUUUUUUCAUUACUCGAGACGAGCAAUGAAUUAAGUUUGGGGUGUGGAAACACAUAAAUUUACACACUUUUUCAUACCCUUUUUAACCUAAAUCCAUGCGAAUUUAGUUAAAUUCUUGUCAAAAAAUAAUUAAUUUUUAUAAAAUAUUUAAAAUUCCCUUAAAAUAUGAACAUGUUGAAAUUUAGUUAAUUUUCUAAUUAUUUUUGAUGAAUUUUGGUUAUUUUUGAUAGAUUUGCACAAAAGGCAAAAAAUGUCUCAAUAGACACUACCAGAAGCACAAAAUCAAGAAGCAAUUUGAAGUAUCAAGGCAAAUUAAUUUCCAGCCUAAGAUGGUCCAAUUAUGUGUAUUAAUUCAUAAUAUAAUUAAUUUUAAUUUAUACCCAAUUUAAUUUGGGUUAUAACAUCCCAAAAUAGGGCCUAGUCAGAAUAAUGGUUUUGGGACCACAAAUCCAACAUCAAAAUAUUUAUUUUAUGAUUAUUAUGAGGCCUAGAAUAUGAGUAUAUGCAUGUGUUAAAGUUUCAUGAAGAAAUUCUUUGAGUAAGGUGUUCAAUUGGAAAUUAGGGACUAAAUUGAAUAAAUUGCAAAACUUGAUUUCUAGAAGCAACUUGCAUGAAAUUGCUUUAGAUUAUAAAAUAGAAGGUCUUGGGGAGCAAUUUUCCCAAUUUCUAAAUUUUUAGACAAAAAUGGGCUUGCAUGGAUGAAAUUUCAAAGAAAAGGCAUAAGGACAUUUUGGUCAUUUGGCAUUUAAGUGAAAUAAAAUGGGAAAAAUGAACCAAAAAUCAGCCAUUCUUCUUCUCCAUGCUGCCGAAAUUUCUAGGGUUUCCAUAGCUAGGGUUUUUUAAGCUUUCCAAGCUCAAUAGUAAGUGCUCCCAAGCCCCGUUUUUAAUGUUCUUUAUAUUUUUGAAAUCCCGGUAGCUUGCUCUCUCCAUUUCUACCCAUAUUUCAUGCUAAGGUUCAUGUUUAAAAAUUUACCCAUGCCUGAUUUGCUUGUAUUUUGCUGAAUUAUGGAGGAAUAUGAAAGAUGAAUGUCUAUUAAACAUCUUUUCCUAGUUGAUUUUCAUGAAAAACCCUUAUAGGGACUAUUUUGCAAAAGAUGUAAAUGUGUGGCAGAAAUGAGAAAAUAAUGGAAAAUGUGGGCUACCAUAAGAAGGAAAAUUGUUCGGCUAGGCUUGGGUAAGAUAGAAAGUGCAUGUUUUUCAUUAUACGAGCCUAAGAACUAAAUUGUAAAAAUGUGAAAGGUUAGGGGCAAAACGGUCAUUUAGACUGGGGGUAGAUAUUAAACUUGAAAUUUAUAAUGUAGUGUAUUAAUGAGUUAAUUUUAUUUUUAUAGACCCUGAAUAACAAAUUCCGAAGGUCGAUCGAGGUAAACGCAAGGUUUCAGAAUAACCGAAAUACAACUCCGAAAAGAAUACCAGGUAAGUUCGGAUAACUUAGAGUAAACCCCUAAUAUGCAUAAUUGUAUGAUUUAUGAAUGCAUGAUGAUUGCAUUUAUUAUUGGCAUGAAAUAUUGUAGAAAUGCAUAUUUGAUGAUAACGUGUGAAAAAUGUCUCGGUUGAGGUUGAAAAAGGGAAUUCGAUGGACAAACCCUGUUUGACAUGUGAACUGAGAUCCUGCAUGUGUUGCAGUAAGGAUUUAUCCCGGACGGGUAAUCUGUGAUCUCAAGUAUGAAAAGGAUCUAGCCCGGACGAGUGUUCCUUGAAUGAUCAAGCCUCUCGAAGAAUAUAUGUGCAUUAUGGAUUUAGCCCGGACGGGUAAUCCGAUUAGGGUCUGGAUUUAGCCUGGACUGGUAAUUUCGAUCUGAGCUCAUUAAGGGUGUUUUUCGUUAUAAGGGAUUUAGCCUGGACUGGUAAUCCUGACAUCACCGCAUGAGUUCAUGAUAUAGGGGAUUUAGCCUGGACUGGUAAUCCGGCCAUGAGAUGUGAGGUUCGCGGGAGUGCAUAUAAGUGAAAUGAUCAUCCGUAAGAAUUGACGGAUAAUGGGUAUUCCAUCGAGAUCUCCUAGAAACUCAACGGGAUCAAUAUGAUGUAUUUCAAUAAGAUGAUGAAUGAUGAGCUCAUCUACAUAAAUUACAUGAUGCUUUGUUAUGUCACUAACUCAUUGAUUGAGUGCAUGUGAUAGGGAACCGUUUCAUAAUUGAUGAUUUCAUGAUUUAAAUAUGGAUGUAUGCUAAUUACUCGGUAAGUUUACUUUCUGGUUAUUCGAGCUUACUAAGCAUGUAAAUGUUUACCCCUCUCUUUUUCCCUAUCUCACAGAGCUCGAGGACUCAAACAGAUUGGAAGAUGAUUGGAGAGUCAACAGACUAUCAACUAGUUAAGCUUUGGUAUAAAGACUUUUUUUUAUUUUGUUCAGUGGCAUGUAUAGUAUUUUUAAGUAUUUUGUUAUAUGUGUCAUUCGAUUUGCCAAAUGAAGGCAUGUAAAAAUAUGUUUAUCCCUUUGUAUAUGGCCACAAAAAUUGGCUUAAUUGAAGUAGGCUAUGACCUACGAAUUUAUGCAUGGUUUUAUUUACAAGUGAUGGGUUAUUACCAAUUGGAAAUGAGUCACAUGAACGAACCAAUUUCGGAUGAAUUAAAGUGACAUGGGAACCCAUAAAUAGUAAAUGGGAAAUAACCUAUCAUGCAUGAAACCAAUGAUAUGAGGUUUCCAUACAUCUAGUUUAAUCAAGGUUUUUUACAAGUAUAUAAUUGUGUUCUACUUUGAAUUUGGUAACCACUAAGCACAAGUAGUAGAAAGGGGUGACUAAAGGCUUGGAAAAUAGUCUAUUAGAGUCCACAUGGUUAGACACACGGGCGUGUGUCUAGGCCGUGUGUGACACAUGGUUUCCUCCCAUGAGCAUGUGCUAUGGCCGUGUGUCCCCUGCACUUAAAAUUUUAGCUCAAAGUUGUACACGGGUAGGCUACACGGUCGUUCACCAUGGCCGUGUUAAAAAGACAGUGUCGUCCACGGGCAGGUAGCACGGGUAUGUGCCAUGGCCGUGUUGAUAAGUCGUGUUGUCCACGGCUGAAGGGCAUGGGUGUGCCCCAAGUCACACGAGCGUGUGAGUCCACACGGCCAACCUACAGGGCGUGUGAACUUUAUGAUAAGGAAAAAUUUCCUAAGGAGCCCAAGGUUUUUCGAAUGUACUUGAAUUUGUCCCGCACUGCCUCUAGGUAUGUUAUAGGCCUCGAAGGCCUAUACAAGGGACGAGUUGUUCAUGGAUGAAAAGCUUAAAAUUUGAAUAAAAUUUGGUGACCCAAUUUGGUACGUUUCAAAUUGUAAAGUCCUGGUAAUGCCUCAAAUCCUAUCUCGGCGUUGAGUACGGGUGAGGGGUGUUACAUUUAUUGGUAUCAGAGCUACGGUUUAGUUGGUUCUAGGACUACCGUAGAGGAUGUUAAAGUUCACUAUACAUGCCAUUAUUUGAAUUUUGAUAGUGUGACGUCUCCUAAUUGUUUAAACUAUUUUGAAUAUAGUGAAUGUCUUCCAAUCAUGCACAAGAUGAGUCCGAGGGAGCCGAGAGCCAUGCUCCAGCUUUCAUACAGCGAGCAGUAUCUACUAAUAGUAGAAGGCUGAUGUCAGAAGGCCGAAAAGAGGCCUGAGCUACCUUCUUUGAUAUGAUGGAUGAAUGGUUUGGGGAUUAUAUGAGAAAUCGCCCCAAUACACCAAGACCUCCCCCGCCCUCUAACCAACCAGAUGAGGAUGUGCCACGAGGUAUGGCACCAGUAAGAAUCGAUAAAGCCCCUGUAGAUAAGCUUAGAAAGUAUGGGGC